GAUGAACGCUGGCGGCGUGCCUAAUACAUGCAAGUCGAGCGAACAGACGAGGAGCUUGCUCCUCUGACGUUAGCGGCGGACGGGUGAGUAACACGUGGAUAACCUACCUAUAAGACUGGGAUAACUUCGGGAAACCGGAGCUAAUACCGGAUAAUAUAUUGAACCGCAUGGUUCAAUAGUGAAAGACGGUUUUGCUGUCACUUAUAGAUGGAUCCGCGCCGCAUUAGCUAGUUGGUAAGGUAACGGCUUACCAAGGCAACGAUGCGUAGCCGACCUGAGAGGGUGAUCGGCCACACUGGAACUGAGACACGGUCCAGACUCCUACGGGAGGCAGCAGUAGGGAAUCUUCCGCGAUGGGCGAAAGCCUGACGGAGCAACGCCGCGUGAGUGAUGAAGGUCUUCGGAUCGUAAAACUCUGUUAUUAGGGAAGAACAAAUGUGUAAGUAACUAUGCACGUCUUGACGGUACCUAAUCAGAAAGCCACGGCUAACUACG
rnacentral:rRNA from 1 species